rnacentral:rRNA from 1 species
GUGAGGAAUAUUGCGCAAUGGGCGAAAGCCUGACGCAGCGACGCCGCGUGAGGGACGACGGCCUUCGGGUUGUAAACCUCUGUCAGCAGGGAAGAGAACGGACGGUACCUGCUGAGGAAGCAUCGGCUUACUACGUGCCAGCAGCCGCGGUAAUACGUAGGAUGCGAGAGUUGUCCGGAUUUACUGUGCGUAAAGAGCUCGUAGGCGGGAACAUACGUCUGGAAUAAAAUCACACGGCUCAACUGUGGGUCCUUUCCAGAUACGGUGGUUCUUGAGGGCAGAAGAGGAGAAUAGAAUUCCCAGUGUAGCGGUGAAAUGCGUAGAUAUUGGGAAGAAUACCAGUGGCGAAGGCGAUUCUCUGGUCUGUCUCUGACGCUGAGGAGCGAAAGCGUGGGUAGCGAACGGGAUUAGAUACCCGAGUAGUCC